GGGUCAGUAGGUUGGUCGUGCCACCGGUACGUACUGGUCUCACUGAUUCCUCCUUCCUGAAGAACCGUAAUGCCAUUAAUUUGGUGUUGCGGGGAAACAGGACUGUUACUUUGAAAAAAUUAGAGUGUUUAAAGUAAGCUAACGCUUGAAUACAUUAGCAUGGGAUAAUGAAAUAGGACGAUCGAUCCUAUUUUGUUGGUUUCUAGGAUUGACGUA
rnacentral:rRNA from 1 species